rnacentral:rRNA from 1 species
UACGUAGGGUCCGAGCGUUGUCCGGAAUUACUGGGCGUAAAGAGCUCGUAGGUGGUUUGUCGCGUUGUUCGUGAAAACUCACAGCUUAACUGUGGGCGUGCGGGCGAUACGGGCAGACUAGAGUACUGCAGGGGAGACUGGAAUUCCUGGUGUAGCGGUGGAAUGCGCAGAUAUCAGGAGGAACACCGGUGGCGAAGGCGGGUCUCUGGGCCGAUACUGACGCUGAGGAGCGAAAGCGUGGGGAGCAAACAGG